rnacentral:rRNA from 1 species
CUACGGAGGGUGCAAGCGUUGUUCGGAAUCACUGGGCGUAAAGGGCGCGCAGGCGGUUUGGUAAGUCAGAUGUGAAAGCCCACGGCUCAACCGUGGAAGUGCAUUUGAAACUGUCAGACUUGAGUACUAGAGGGGAAAGUGGAAUUCCCGGUGUAGAGGUGAAAUUCGUAGAUAUCGGGAGGAAUACCGGUGGCGAAGGCGACUUUCCGGCUGAAUACUGACGCUGAGGCGCGAAAGCGUGGGGAGCAAACAGGAUUAGAAACCCGAGUAGUCC